rnacentral:rRNA from 1 species
UACAGAGGGUGCGAGCGUUAAUCGGAAUUACUGGGCGUAAAGCGUGCGUAGACGGCCAUCUAAGUCGGAUGUGAAAGCCCCGGGCUCAACCUGGGAAUUGCAUUUAAAACUGUCCAACUAGAGUCUUGUAGAGGGGGGUAGAAUUCCAGGUGUAGCGGUGAAAUGCGUAGAGAUCUGGAGGAAUACCGGUGGCGAAGGCGGCCCCCUGGACAAAGACUGACGCUCAGGUGCGAAAGCGUGGGGAGCAAACAGG